rnacentral:rRNA from 1 species
GUGCCAGCCGCCGCGGUAACACGUAGGGACCAAGCGUUGUCCGGAUUCAUUGGGCGUAAAGAGCUCGUAGGCGGCUCAGUAAGUCGGGUGUGAAACCUCCAGGCUCAACCUGGAGACGCCACCCGAUACUGCUGUGGCUAGAGUCCAGUAGGGGAGCGUGGAAUUCCUGGUGUAGCGGUGAAAUGCGCAGAUAUCAGGAGGAACACCAGCGGCGAAGGCGGCGCUCUGGGCUGGCACUGACGCUGAGGAGCGAAAGCGUGGGGAGCGAACAGGAUUAGAUACCCGCGUAGUCC